GCUUUCUUUCUCUUUGAAUCUAGUAUAUCACAGCUGACCAGUAUGAAUGAGCAAGAGGAAGUGUUACUGGAGCAGUUUGUGAAUCUGCCACAGCUGAAGCAAGUCAUUACAGACAGAGAUGAAUUAGUGACAAGUAUUGAAGAGCUGGCAAAAAAAAAUUUGUUGUUGGAGCCUAGCUUAGAGGCAAAAAGACAGACAGUGUUGGAUAAAUAUGAGCAACUCACACAGAUGAAAGCAGCCUUUGAGAAAAAGAUGCAAAGACA